AAGUCGUAACAAGGUUUCCGUAGGUGAACCUGCGGAAGGAUCAUUAACGAGUUUUGAAACGAGUUGUAGCUGGCCUUCCGAGGCAUGUGCACGCUCUGCUCAUCCACUCUACCCCUGUGCACUUACUGUAGGUUGGUGUGGGCUCCUUAACGGGAGCAUUCUGCCGGCCUAUGUAUACUACAAACACUUUAAAGUAUGAGAAUGUAAACGCGUCUAACGCAUCUAUAAUACAACUUUUAGCAACGGAUCUCUUGGCUCUC
rnacentral:misc_RNA from 1 species